UACGAAGGGGGGCUAGCGUUGUUCGGAAUUACUGGGCGUAAAGCGCGCGCAGGCGGUCUUCCAAGUCAGUGGUGAAAGCCCGGAGCUCAACUCCGGAACUGCCAUUGAAACUGUUGGACUUGAGUACGAGAGAGGUGAGUGGAAUUCCCAGUGUAGAGGUGAAAUUCGUAGAUAUUGGGAAGAACACCGGUGGCGAAGGCGGCUCACUGGACUGGUAUUGACGCUGAGGUGCGAAAGCGUGGGGAGCAAACAGG
rnacentral:rRNA from 1 species